GUCCUUGCAGUGCCGGGGUAUUUUUAGUGGUUCAUUAUAUGGAUUGCAGGAGUCUUUGCGUUGUGUUGUGUCACACACAGCAUGUGAACUUCCUGUCCCUGCUCCUCUGUGCCUUUGAUCCUGCCCAUCCAGCCACCACAGCAGGAGAGCUGACACAUCAGCCACGGCCACUUCUUCCUUACUAGGACUUCCAGUUGCAGGGAAUCCUGAUGGCUGGUACUUGUUGGGUGCUUGAGAAACACAGGGAGUUUGGCUGGGCCCAAGAGCUGUUGCAGCUUGGAGAAGGGAAUUCUCCAUCACCCAGAUGGAGCUGCUGCUUCUUCUCCUUCUUCCCUCUUUGUUGGUGGCCUCGCACCCCCUGUCCUGCCAGAACGUGUGGCAGUGCCAGGCACCACUGCAGAGCUGCUGAUCCACCUCAGCCACCGGCCCAGGAUCUCAGCUCAUCCCUGCUGUUCCAGCUGAGUGUUCCUCAGAGCCCUGCAGGAGCACCGGGACUGACUGCCCGAGGGGUUUGUGAAGCAAAGCCUCUCCUCCAUCCUUUCCCAUCUCAGCCGAGAAAGCUGUCACGGGGUCCCUGGUUCUGGUUUGUUGUUAACACUGUAGUUAUUGUUGUUUGUGUGCCUUGUUAUACAUACUAGUAAAGAACUGUUAUUCCUAUCCCCAGAUCUCUGCCUGA